UCUGCUCAAUGUAAAUUUAUAAAUAGCUGCAAAUGUACUAAGGUAGCAUAAUAAUUUGCCUUUUAAUUGAAGGAUUGUAUGAAGGAAUUUACAAAAUUAAAACUAUCUUUAUAAUAAAAAUAAAAAUUAAUCUAAAAGUGAAAAAGCUUUUAUUUAAAAAAUAGACAAGAAGACCCUGUUGAGCUUUUCUAUUUAACUAGAUUUUGUUGGGGCAACAUAAAUUAUUUAAUCAAUUUUUAUUUUUUAGAAUAAAAUCAUAAAUUUUAUCUUAUUUUAUAAAAUUCUAAAAAGUUACCACAGGGAUAACAGGCUAAUUUUUUUUUAGAGUUCAAAUUAACAAAAAAGUUUAGCACCUCGAUGUUGGCUUAGGAUUUCAUUUUAAUGUAGAAAUUAAAAUUGUUGGUUU
rnacentral:rRNA from 1 species